rnacentral:rRNA from 1 species
UGGCGGACGGGUGAGUAAUGUCUGGGAAACUGCCUGAUGGAGGGGGAUAACUACUGGAAACGGUAGCUAAUACCGUAUAACGUCGCAAGACCAAAGAGGGGAACCUUCGGGCCUCUUGCCAUCGGAUGUGCCCAGAUGGGAUUAGCUAGUAGGUGGGGUAACGGCUCACCUAGGCGACGAUCCCUAGCUGGUCUGAGAGGAUGACCAGCCACACUGGAACUGAGACACGGUCCAGACUCCUACGGGAGGCAGCAUG